CACGUACUGCGCGAACGUUAUUCGGAAUUACUGGGCUUAAAGGGUGCGCAGGCGGCUAAGCAAGUCAGGUGUGAAAUUUUUCGGCUCAACCGGAAAACUGCAUCUGAAACUGUUUGGCUUGAGUCAGCUAGAGGUAUGCGGAACUGCCAGUGGAGCGGUGAAAUGUGUAGAGAUUGGCAGGAACGCCGGUGGCGAAAGCG
rnacentral:rRNA from 1 species